GCCGUAAACAAUUAAUUUACACCCACCAGCGCCAGGGAAUUACGAGCAAUGCUUAAAACCCAAAGGAUUUGACGGUGUCCCACCCCACUAGAGGAGCCUGUUCUAUAAUCGAUGAUCCCCGCUUCACCCGACCACUCCUUGCUAUCAGUCUGUAUACCUCCGUCGAAAGCUUACCAUGUGAACGCCCAAAGUAGGCUUAAUGACCUUACCGUCAACACGUCAGGUCAAGGUGCAGCUUAAGGGGUGGGAAGUAAUGGGCUACAAUUUCUAAUCUAGAACAAACGAAAGACUAUGUGAAAUACUAGUCAUGAAGGUGGAUUUAGUAGUAAAAAGAAAGUAGAGUGUUCUUUUUAACUCGGCUCUGGGACGCGUACACACCGCCCGUCACCCUCUUCGAUAGUAAUUUAUCCUGUUUCUAACCCACUACUACGUUUUAAAAGAAGCAAGUCGUAACAUGGUAAGUGUACUGGAAAGUGCACUUGGAAUAC
rnacentral:rRNA from 1 species